rnacentral:tRNA from 1 species
GCGCCUUUAGUUCAAUUGGAUAGAGCGUUUGACUUCGAAUCAAAAAGUUGGGGGUUCGAGUCCCUCAGGGCGCG